rnacentral:lncRNA from 1 species
CAGUUUCUCACCAUUUCCUUUAGAUGCUUAAAACAUAUCAACUUGGGUGGGGGCAAACUGAGGGAGGGGGAAAGAAAGAAGAAAAGAAACUAUGAACUUCCUUUCAAAACAUUAAGCUGUGGUGACGCAGCUGGGCUUGAGUUCUAUUGAGAUCCUGGAGGGAACCUAAGAAAGCCGACUCGUGGACUUGGAGGUUCUUCUUCCCUGGCCAUCUCCUUGCCUUCUUACUAGAGUCCUUUCUGCCUGCUGGAUUUCUGAGGGGCAGAAGUGGUCAGAAAGAGCUGGUGGCUUGGAUUAAAAUGUCCAGUUUCAUUCAUGACCCAACCAUUUCAACAUGAAACCUACAGAGUGAAAGGCCAUAACCUCAAGUGAAUUCCUGCCAUUGUGAAGGGCUCUUCAUUGGAAUGCAGCAGAGAUUAGAACAGCUGUACUCUGAGAGGAAGAAGGCUGAGAGAUGAGGUUGUGUAAUUUAUUUGAAUGUUGCUAAGACAACUGUAAAUCUUGUCUGCUUAGUAACUGCGUGAGGUUGGAAGCCAUGGGAUUUAAAGACCAGGCUGGGUCAACUUCUCCUCUAGCCAACUAGACCUUUUUGAAAACCCAGGACUGUCCUGUGAACCACAAGACUCCCAAACCUCCAUUCCUUUGGCAUGUGUGACCCAAGCCUGUGAAAGAGCAAAAAGGAAAAAGUGGCCUUCUCAGUGCAGAAAUCUUCUACCUUAUUAAAAAAAGAGAGAUUUCUUUCAUGAAAUUUUCUAACAAUGACAAUUGGCUAGUGGGAUAUUAGGUACCACAUGCAUAAAUGCUAAACUCAGUCUGCAGGUUGCUGAAAUGAAACAGCUUCAGCAUAAGUAAAGUUUUAGGGCUAUUUCUCCUCAUGGUUAAUCAGGGUUUUAUAUUGUGGUGACAUAUGUCUUGUAAGGUGAAAAUAGCCUUCAUGUUUUCAUCCUGAGAGAUGGUCACUCAUAUUUACUCUGGAAGAACAGAAUCUAAAAGCUGGAAGGCACCAAUGAGGCCAUUGACUCCAACCAGCACCUGAUCAAGAAUCCCUCAGCACAGUAACAUUUUCCACAACUGAUUAUCCAUUCUCUACUUAAUGACUUCCAGUGAUGGGCCCAAUUCCUCCAGUGGCAGCCUAU